UUAAACUUAGGUGAGAUAGCAUCAAUUUGAACUUCCCUCUUUUCAGCUUCUAUCCUCUAUCUCUCACUUGUGAGAGCGACGCUAGCGCUGUUACAGAGACCCCUCAGGAUCUUUCUUCUCUCUUCAGCACGUGCUUUUUACUAUCGUCUGUCUCUUUUUAUCUCAUGAAUUUAAUGGCAUUGCCCCUCGCCUGCGCAACGCAGCUGCGCGACCACUUUUGUUCCCACCUCUCAGUACGUUUUAUCACUCUUUGAACGCGAGAUCCUACAUCGUCAUCCUUCCGAACUUCCAACUUUCUCAUUCGGUUCCGACAUGUCGCCCUGAACGGGCGGCUGCCCGCUCAGCCUUCCCAUUUCAUGAUCAUAACAUCAACACAACCUAUAAAAAAUUCCAAUUCUUAUCAAAAUCCCGCAUUUCAAAGUUGACUUCCUUAUCACUGCUCUUUUUUUUAUCAACAAUCGCUGUUUCACUGCAAGAAAAUGCAUUUCUCCUUUUUGUGCUGUGCUCUCCUAGUUUUGUGUCAAUUUAACCACUCAGUGCAAAGUUGAUAGUGUGCCUCCACAGUCUCUGGACAUGCCCUCUUGGCUCUCACAUCAUUCCCAUUGAUAUUAAGUGAGAUUUUUGCUCUGUCAUCACAUCAUGAUCGCAUACUCAAGUAUUAUUUAGAUUUUUUUCCCCAUUUCAUCCAUUAUCAUGUCAACCGAGAACAAAGAACUUGUUCUAUUGAUCUCCAAAAUAACGGGUCCAACAAAUCCAAAGUUCAGCAAAUACCUACCACAUAUUCUCAGGAGAUUGAAAAAUAAUGACAGUGAAAUUGAUAUUCUGUUGAAGCAUCAAGAUUUCUUUGAGAUCCUCAAAGCUGCUCUGACCAAACCAGGCUGUGACACAACCAUUCUCUUCUUAUCUAUACUGGACAUCUGCUGCUGUAAAAGCUCAUUUUGCAGUGAGCUGUCAGGACAUAAUAUUGUGCAUCAUCUGACUUUUAUUUUACAAAAUUUGAACGAUCGCAAGCUACUAAGUUACACGUGCAAAGUGAUCGGCAAGCUAGCAAAAUCCAACACUCCGGAUUUAGUAGGGGAGUUGAACAAGUCCAAAGCCUUACUUUUCGUUACAAAGUUUUAAAUGAUACCCGAAACGGCUGGAAAGAUACACAAACCACAGCACUCUAUGCUUUGGGGUAAGUCAUUUUUUCCCUCUUUCUAGAUUUCAGCCAGUAAUUGAAACUAAGAUCAGCAUCUUUAUUUUACAUUUAUUCUUAAUACUUAAAUUAAGU
rnacentral:lncRNA from 1 species